AUUGAACGCUGGCGGCAUGCCUUACACAUGCAAGUCGAACGGUAACAGGUCUUCGGAUGCUGACGAGUGGCGAACGGGUGAGUAAUACAUCGGAACGUGCCUAGUAGUGGGGGAUAACUACUCGAAAGAGUGGCUAAUACCGCAUGAGAUCUACGGAUGAAAGCAGGGGAUCGCAAGACCUUGUGCUACUAGAGCGGCCGAUGGCAGAUUAGGUAGUUGGUGGGAUAAAAGCUUACCAAGCCGACGAUCUGUAGCUGGUCUGAGAGGACGAUCAGCCACACUGUGACUGAGACACGGCCCAGACGCCUACGGGAGGCAGCAGUGGGGAACGUUGGACAAUGGGCGCAAGCCUGAUCCAGCAAUGCCGCGUGCAGGAUGAAGGCCUUCGGGUUGUAAACUGCUUUUGUACGGAACGAAAAGCCCUGGGUUAAUACCCUGGGGUCAUGACGGUACCGUAAGAAUGAGCACCGGCUAACUACGUGCCAGCCGCCGCGGUAA
rnacentral:rRNA from 1 species